rnacentral:rRNA from 1 species
UACGAAGGUGGCAAGCGUUACUCGGAAUUACUAGGCGUAAAGGGCAGGUAGGUGGUUUGGUUAGUCUGUUGUGAAAGCUCCUUGCUCAACGGGGAGAGGUCAACAGAUACUGCCAGACUUGAGUAUGGGAGAAGGUACUGGAAUUCCCGGUGUAGCGGUGAAAUGCGCAGAGAUCGGGAGGAACACCAAUGGCGAAAGCAGGUACCUGGACCAUUACUGACACUCAGCUGCGAAAGCUAGGGGAGCAAACAGG